rnacentral:rRNA from 1 species
UACGUAGGGUGCGAGCGUUAAUCGGAAUUACUGGGCGUAAAGCGUGCGUAGGCGGUUCGUUAAGUCUGUUGUGAAAGCCCCGGGCUCAACCUGGGAAUGGCAAUGGAUACUGGCGAGCUAGAGUGUGUCAGAGGAUGGUGGAAUUCCCGGUGUAGCGGUGAAAUGCGUAGAGAUGUGGAGGAAUACGAUGGCGAAGGCAGCCCCCUGGGAUAACACUGACGCUCAUGCACGAAAGCGUGGGGAGCAAACAGG